GACGAACGCUGGCGGCGUGCUUAACACAUGCAAGUCGAACGGAAAGGCCCUGCUUUUGUGGGGGUGCUCGAGUGGCGAACGGGUGAGUAACACGUGAGUAACCUGCCCUUGACUUUGGGAUAACUUCAGGAAACUGGGGCUAAUACCGGAUAGGAGCUCCUGCUGCAUGGUGGGGGUUGGAAAGUUUCGGCGGUUGGGGAUGGACUCGCGGCUUAUCAGCUUGUUGGUGGGGUAGUGGCUUACCAAGGCUUUGACGGGUAGCCGGCCUGAGAGGGUGACCGGCCACAUUGGGACUGAGAUACGGCCCAGACUCCUACGGGAGGCAGCAGUGGGGAAUAUUGCACAAUGGGCGGAAGCCUGAUGCAGCAACGCCGCGUGCGGGAUGACGGCCUUAGGGUUGUAAACCGCUUUCGCCUGUGACGAAGCGUGAGUGACGGUAAUGGGUAAAGAAGCACCGGCUAACUACGUG
rnacentral:rRNA from 1 species